rnacentral:rRNA from 1 species
GGACAGCCUUCUGAAAGGAAGAUUAAUACAAGAUGGCAUCAUGAGUCCGCAUGUUCACAUGAUUAAAGGUAUUCCGGUAGACGAUGGGGAUGCGUUCCAUUAGAUAGUAGGCGGGGUAACGGCCCACCUAGUCUUCGAUGGAUAGGGGUUCUGAGAGGAAGGUCCCCCACAUUGGAACUGAGACACGGUCCAAACUCCUACGGGAGGCAGCAGUGAGGAAUAUUGGUCAAUGGGCGAGAGCCUGAACCAGCCAAGUAGCGUGAAGGAUGACUGCCCUAUGGGUUGUAAACUUCUUUUAUAAAGGAAUAAAGUCGGGUAUGGAUACCCGUUUGCAUGUACUUUAUGAAUAAGGAUCGGCUAACUCCGUGCCAGCAGCCGCGGUAAUACGGAGGAUCCGAGCGUUAUCCGGAUUUAUUGGGUUUAAAGGGAGCGUAGAUGGAUGUUUAAGUCAGUUGUGAAAGUUUGCGGCUCAACCGUAAAAUUGCAGUUGAUACUGGAUAUCUUGAGUGCAGUUGAGGCAGGCGGAAUUCGUGGUGUAGCGGUGAAAUGCUUAGAUAUCACGAAGAACUCCGAUUGCGAAGGCAGCCUGCUAAGCUGCAACUGACAUUGAGGCUCGAAAGUGUGGGUAUCAAACAGGAUUAGAUACCCUGGUAGUCCACACGGUAAACGAUGAAUACUCGCUGUUUGCGAUAUACUGCAAGCGGCCAAG